rnacentral:rRNA from 1 species
UACGUAGGGUGCAAGCGUUGUUCGGAAUCAUUGGGCGUAAAGAGCGUGUAGGCGGUUCGAUAAGUCUGCUGUAAAAGUCGGGGGCUCAACCCCCGAAAGCCGGUGGAUACUGUCGAACUAGAGUACGGAAGAGGCGAGUGGAAUUCCUGGUGUAGCGGUGAAAUGCUCAGAUAUCAGGAGGAACACCAAUUGCGAAGGCAGCUCGCUGGGACGUUACUGACGCUGAGACGCGAAAGCGUGGGGAGCAAACAGG